UCUAAAGGAUACAGUCAUAAUGGAGAGAAAGGAUGUCAAUUUCGAUGUGACAAAUAUCUAUGAUCAUUAAAGUCCAAAAUCCAGUGAUUUUAGCUCGUAACGUGUAUCAACUGAAACACUGCAUUACCGGUACUUCGACUGCGUAACGAGUUCUUAUCCUAUUCUUUAUCAUCCGAAGUAUUACAAUGUUAGUGUGACUGAAGUCAUUUUAUCUGUGCUCCUAUCCCACAAAAAAAGCUUAUUCCCGUAGAAGCUUUACUUACACGCGUUACCCUCGCGACCUUCGCUAAUCUCCAGGAUCUCCCGGCGCCUUCAGUACAAACAAGAAACAGCAUAAAGUGUACCUCGGGCGAUAAAUCUAGUGGCAGAUCAAAAGGAAGUGUAUUGUAGAAACUAGACAGUGUUAAUGGCAUGGGUAUUUCAGUGUAUAUGUCAAGAUUUCGAUAAAUCACAAACACGUAAAUAAUCAAUACUUAUCAAUUAUUUUGCGUAUGUAUUAAAUUUUUUCCAUGCUGAAUCGUGCAUGAACGAAGAAACGUGAAAGAUUUUCUUUUGGACGCCUGAAUAAGCUAAAGCAUACAUAUUUAACAUUGAUCAAACAAUUUUUAUUUAUAGAACACGCGACACUCCCAACCCUGUCGUACGUCGAGAUUUAUCCCUUUUGGCUUUGAGGUUAUAUAGUAAAAGUCACCGGUAUGCAGUAUAUGGGUGCCUGUAAAAUGUUGUGUGUACGUUUUGAAUAUUUUCGUGUACCAUUUCUUGUGAAAGGAGCAUCGUGGCGUUUCAAUGUAAAAGAGUAGAGUGUAAUUCAACGACUAGAAAAUUCAUAUCGCGUAGCUUGUACUUUCCGAGAAUAGAGUGAGUUGUUCCCGGCGCGUGACGACGGCUAAGGAAUUCCGUUUUCAGGACAUGAGAUUUAAUCGUUCCACGAUUCUGAAUACGUAUGUAGACGCACUCAUUCUAAAUGCCAGAUCCGUAGAUGCAUUAUAUGUACGUAUUACGUCUGUGCCGCAUGAAUUUGCCAACGUCAGAGUAUCCUUGGAGCUUAUGACAGUCUCAUUAAAGAAGUCGCAUGCGUAAUUUUAUCGGAGAAAGUAAUUUUCGGUAGUAAAUUUUUACAAGUUUACGAAGAAAUAAUAGAAAAUAAGCAAUCGAGUAUCGAAAGCCAAGUAGAUUGAGUCAUUGAAGAGACGCUGAACGAUCUAUGACUGUUGGUAGAAGAAUAAAAGAAAGAUGGCUACCGUAUAGAAGAACGCGGUGUAGGUACCUGGUGGAAAAAAAAAAGAAAAUUAUGUGGAAACUAAAUUGUACCUCGGGGGACAGGAAGUGGCCGACAAAUUUUCUAGAAGAUUUUCGCCGGUUUCGAGGAAGGAAGAAAGCGACCGGUCAGGUGUAUUUUCUACCUGACUUCUAUAACGAGCCAAAAGGAGUCCUUAGACUAGACCUCCUCUUUCCUAACCUCGAUGAUCCAUGGUCAUAGUCCUGGAUAUGGACGAUGUCGUGAGGGCGUAUGCUUCUGGAAUUUCUAAGGACUGUAUGUUUGAGUCUUCCAAGAGGAUAACUACUGCGGAACCGCUGCUCAUAUUCUGUUACGUUCCCUAGGGAAAGAGAUUGCUGGACUGGUCAAAUCAAUUGCAAUGUUUACGGUUAAGAGUCUAUUUGAAAUCCACUGGCCUCAGGCGAAUUCUGAAUCAUUCGCAAUCUUUACCAAUGACUCCUUACUCAUGGACUCACCAAAAGUUUUAAGGUCACCAACGUCUCUUUUUCUUCACUUUUCCAUCAGUGUCUACGAGCUAUUAUAAAUUUCACUCAGCCUGUACAAGGUGAACGUACAAGUGUUCGUAAACGUGACUUAUGAACCGGAAGUGCCAAGAAACUUCGUGCUGACAACCAUGAGCUCAAACGAAUUCGACGUUCCUGUAACCUGCAAAUAAAAGAAAUUGGCCGUACACGCCCGAACGCUAAGAGACCGAUAAAUAAACUCACCGCGUGCCUACGAUUCGUCAGCAACUCUUAGACAGUCUGUACGUAUUCUAUCUGGUGCACGUGUGCAACUCGGGUCAGGAAGUCUUCGCGUGCUCGGUAGGACAACCUCGAAUAGAUCCUUUGAAUAAAUUUAGACAGCUUGCCAUGGCUUUUUAUAGACAAGAAGAACAAGAUCCGAUCACUGGAUGGUACUGGAGUUCAUUAGACGAUCUUAAAAAAAAAGUAAGAAACUGACAAUAGUCUUACGAUAGUUAAAUUGACAGAAUAAUAAUGUCAAAAUAAUUCACUUGGAACAUGCAUAUUUCAACCAAUGUAGCAGACCGACAUAAAUAUUAAACAUAGCAGAGGGAAGGUGGGUUCGCGACGUGGAGACUAUUUAUAAAUCCAUUGUAAUGGAAUACUGUAGUUUUUUUUUUUUAGUGUCGUACUACCUAGCUAAGGGGUACACGAGUGUAAAUUGAGGUCUAAGUGGAAAUUCAGUUUUGACUCUAUUCAUUCACUACGAGAGUCUAAUAAAGAGCAAUUUAAGAAUGAAGAUUCCGGAGUAGCCUACAUAGCGAGAAGUGCUUAUGCGUUAGAUUCUGCAAAGGCGAGAACGCGUGAUCGCGGGCUUCUUUGAAAGGUGUUGGAAUCAGUUUGAGGAGAGUGACAAAAGAAGAGAGAAAAAGAGGAAGAGCCGGUCUAUUUGCUGGGAAAAAGAAGAUCGUGAGGAAGUUGCUUUGGCCGGGGCUCCGUCCCAAGAAGAAGCUGAGAGACGACCUUCUUUCUUAAUGCGCUUCUCUCCCUUCCCCUUGGCAUCCGUCCUAAUGGAUCGUCUCGCGGGUGCAUUUUGUUUUCGGCCUUUAACAGACAGAGACCAUAGCAAUCCUUGGCCCUGGACCCUUUGAUCUCAGCGCAUCAUCCAACCCUGAUGAUGGAUGAUUCCAUUCCCAUCACAUUCGGUCCUGGCACCAGCAACAAGCUCAGGAAGCUCUCACGCAAUUCCACCCGACGCAAGGAUACCAAAGAUUCCUUAGCUUCGAGCAGUUCACUAGUUUUAUCGCAAGGAAUCACCUGGUGGACACGCGACCUGGAUGUGCAUCAGCUAGUGGAGAUCCUUUUCAAGAGCCUCAUGGGAUACCUUACUGAUUGUAGAUACGAUUCUGGAAGUUGAAUAGGAUCACCCUGGGGGCAGGUGUGCCACGAUGUACUUUUGUGAUUCAGUACCCCACCAGGCACAGCAUCCGCACGUGAUCCUGAUCCUAUACCCAAUUGAAGUCUAUAAGAGUAAUAAAAUCAUUGUUAUACUUUUAGGUUACAUUCUCAUGGAACGCGGUGACUAGUCUAGCGUGACUUCCUCCAGGGAAGUCCAAAGGUGCAAUAAAGUAUAUACGUAUAUACCAUCAGGCUCUGCGGGCAUCGUCUGCUCAAGCUGGAUCCUGAUCAGGAUCCGGUUACCGGAAAUACUUUUUUCAGACUCCAUACGCUCCUCCACUCUUUUGCACGGGUCCUUAUGUUCAUGGUUCCAGGCGAAGCGGUACAGUUGGUAACACUCUUGGAAGACGUCGUGCGGACUGCGGUAGGAAGUGUCGGGUUUAAAACGUGGGCGGGCCCGAUUCCACAUUGUUAAGGG